rnacentral:rRNA from 1 species
AUGCCGAACCCACGGGGAGGCCGGCUUGCGGAGGCGGGUCGGCGAUGGCGCAAGGCGUUGAACGUCGUCCGGACGCUACUCCGCUGGCUCGCGCCCGUCCGCGUCCUGCCGCUGAGCGCCUCCUACGUUGCCAUCGACAUGAACGACGGCAAUAAGCCCGACGCUGACGCUGCCACCCACAUCCGCUACGAGACCCCCGGCGCGGACGUUCGCAUCGACAUCCUCGGCGCGGCCGCCCACUCCUUCAACUUCAAGUCCCUGGUCAAGGAGAAGCGUCAGUGCAGCUUCCGCCGCCUCGGCGGCGCCGCCGAGAUCGCGGCCUUGCUCAAUUCCCACCCGGAGCGGGGCAUCGACGAGCGCGUCUACGACAUGCGCUGCCGCAAGGCCCAACACGGCGAGAACACCUACCCCGAGUCCAAGCCCAGGGGCUUCUUCAUCCACUUUAGGGACGCGCACAGGGACGUUUUCCUCGUCGCGCUCCUCGCCUGCUCCGUCAUCUCCCUCGCCUUCGGCAUCAAGGAGCACCGCCUCAGGGAAGGCUGCUACGACGGCGCCGGCAUCUUCCUGGCCGUGCUCCUCGUCUCCGGCCUAUCCGCCCACAGCACCCACAAUCAGGACAAGCGGGCCCACAACGACGCCAGCGAUUCCGCCAAGAUCACCGUCAGCCGCGACGCCGGGACGCGCGUCGUCCUCAUAUUCGACGUCGUCGUGGGCGACGUGGUCAUACUCCACACUGGUGACACCGUGCCGGCGGACGGGGUGUUCUUGAAUGGACACGAUCUGCAUGUGGACGAGACGGACAUUACCGGCGAGCCCCAGGCGAUCGAGAUCAACGCCGAGAACAGCCCCUUCCUCGCCGCCGGCGUUAAGGUUAUCUGCGGCCACGGCUCGAUGCUCGUGACCGCCGUCGGCACCAACACCUCAUGGGGCGGGCCUUGGAGCAGCCUGUCAACGAUGAGCAUCCACCCGGAGCCGCUACGGACUCGCGUAGAGAGUAUCAUUUCGACCGUCACCAAGGUCGGCCAAGCCGCCACGGUUGUCACCGUCACCGUGCUCGCCGCGCGCCACUUCACCGGCAGCGCCGCGGGGAAGCUGCCGCUACUGGACAAGGGCGUCCCGCUCGCGGUGGCGCUGAUGAUCACCUUCUCCAUGAAGCGGGUGCUCAAGGACAACGCGCUUGUGCACCAUCUGUCGGCCUUGGAGACGAUGGCGUCGGUCACAGUCAUCUGCAUCUGCACCGGAAGGCUCACGCACAACGAGAUGAAGGCCACAAAUGAAGCUUGCGCGAAGGCCGGCGUCGCCGUGAAGAUGCUUACCGCCGACGACAUCGCCGCGAGCCGCGCGGUCGCCACGGAGUGUGGCAUCAUAUCCAGCAACGACACCGGCGACGUCACCAUCAUCACUGGGCCCGAGUUCCGGAACAUGCCGCACGCGCGGCAGGUCGAGAGGGUGGACGAGAUCCGCGUCAUUGCGAUGUCGGGGCCCCUGGACAAGCUGGUGCUGGAGAAGCGGCUGAAGAAGAAGGGCCACGUGCUGGCCGAGGGCACCAACGACAAGUCUGACGAGGUGAUCACGGCCAUCCAGUCAGGCCGCUGCAUGUACAACAAUUUCCAGAAGAUCAUCCAGUUCUACCUCACCGUCAACAUCGUGGCCACCGUGGUCGACUUCGUGGCGGCCAUCACCGCAUGUGAUGCUCCGCUGAGCUCGGUGCAGCUCCUGUGGGUGAACCUGGCCAUGGGCGCCCUGGGCGCGCUGGCCCUGGCGGCGGACACGCCCACGGACGCGCUCAUGGACGGCCCGCCCAUCGCCCGCACGGCCCCGCUCAUCAGCGACGCCAUGUGGCGCAACCUCAUCGCGCAGGCGGGCUUUCAGAUCGCCGUUCUGCUGGUGCUCCAGCACCUCGCCGCCCAAGACAACAAGGGCACCGUUGUCUUCAACGUGUUCAUGCUCUUUCAGGUGUUCAACCAGUUCAACGUGCGCGGCGUCGAGAAGAAGAACGCCUUCGCCGGGGUGCUCAAGAACAAGAUGUUCCUCGUCAUCAUCACCCUCAUGUUUGUGCUCCAGGUGGUGACCAUGGAGGUGCUCACGAGGUUCGUCGGCGCCAAGAAGCUCGGCUUGUGGCAGUGGGGUGCCUGCGUCGCCGUCGCGGCCGGGUCGUGCACCGUCGGCUGGGCCGUCAAGUUCAUCCCCGUGCCGGUUGGCAGCUUGACACGCCUUGCAUUCUAA